UACAUGUGGGGCAAGCGUUGUUCGGAAUUACUGGGCAUAAAGGGUGCGUAGGCGGACUGAUAAGUCAGUGGUGAAAGCCUGUUGCUUAACAACAGAACUGCCAUUGAUACUGUCAAUCUUGAAUAUGUUUGAUGUGGGCGGAAUAUGACAUGUAGCGGUGAAAUGCUUAGAUAUGUCAUAGAACACCGAUUGCGAAGGCAGCUCACAAAGCCAUUAUUGACGCUGAGGCACGAAAGCGUGGGGAUCAAACAGG
rnacentral:rRNA from 1 species